rnacentral:rRNA from 1 species
GGCUGAGGCGUGAUGACGAGGCACUACGGUGCUGAAGCGACAAAUGCCCUGCUUCCAGGAAAAGCCUCUAAGCAUCAGGUAACAUCAAAUCGUACCCCAAACCGACACAGGUGGUCAGGUAGAGAAUACCAAGGCGCUUGAGAGAACUCGGGUGAAGGAACUAGGCAAAAUGGUGCCGUAACUUCGGGAGAAGGCACGCUGAUAUGUAGGUGAAGCGACUUGCUCGUGGAGCUGAAAUCAGUCGAAGAUACCAGCUGGCUGCAACUGUUUAUUAAAAACACAGCACUGUGCAAACACGAAAGUGGACGUAUACGGUGUGACGCCUGCCCGGUGCCGGAAGGUUAAUUGAUGGGGUUAGCGGUAACGCGAAGCUCUUGAUCGAAGCCCCGGUAAACGGCGGCCGUAACUAUAACGGUCCUAAGGUAGCGAAAUUCCUUGUCGGGUAAGUUCCGACCUGCACGAAUGGCGUAAUGAUGGCCAGGCUGUCUCCACCCGAGACUCAGUGAAAUUGAACUCGCUGUGAAGAUGCAGUGUACCCGCGGCAAGACGGAAAGACCCCGUGAACCUUUACUAUAGCUUGACACUGAACAUUGAGCCUUGAUGUGUAGGAUAGGUGGGAGGCUUUGAAGUGUGGACGCCAGUCUGCAUGGAGCCGACCUUGAAAUACCACCCUUUAAUGUUUGAUGUUCUAACGUGGGCCCCUUACCGGGGUUGCGGACAGUGUCUGGUGGGUAGUUUGACUGGGGCGGUCUCCUCCUAAAGAGUAACGGAGGAGCACGAAGGUUGGCUAAUCCUGGUCGGACAUCAGGAGGUUAGUGCAAUGGCAUAAGCCAGCUUGACUGCGAGCGUGACGGCGCGAGCAGGUGCGAAAGCAGGUCAUAGUGAUCCGGUGGUUCUGAAUGGAAGGGCCAUCGCUCAACGGAUAAAAGGUACUCCGGGGAUAACAGGCUGAUACCGCCCAAGAGUUCAUAUCGACGGCGGUGUUUGGCACCUCGAUGUCGGCUCAUCACAUCCUGGGGCUGAAGUAGGUCCCAAGGGUAUGGCUGUUCGCCAUUUAAAGUGGUACGCGAGCUGGGUUUAGAACGUCGUGAGACAGUUCGGUCCCUAUCUGCCGUGGGCGCUGGAGAACUGAGGGGGGCUGCUCCUAGUACGAGAGGACCGGAGUGGACGCAUCACUGGUGUUCGGGUUGUCAUGCCAAUGGCACUGCCCGGUAGCUAAAUGCGGAAGAGAUAAGUGCUGAAAGCAUCUAAGCACGAAACUUGCCCCGAGAUGAGUUCUCCCUGACUCCUUGAGAGUCCUGAAGGAACGUUGAAGACGACGACGUUGAUAGGCCGGGUGUGUAAGCGCAGCGAUGCGUUGAGCUAACCGGUACUAAUGAACCGUGAGGCUUAACCUU